GCCUUUUUCUGGGUAUGAUCCUUGUGCGGUUGAUUACGUUUGAGGUUGUGCAAGUCAGGGGGAAGGCUACCUGUAGAGUUGCUUGGGUGGGAAAUUGGCUGUUGUGGAGUUGUCUAGGUUUAUGUGGAUGCGGCUGUUUGUACAUUAGUAUCUGUGUGCAUGGGAAUAAUGGAUUAUGUGGAUGGGGAAUGGGAGCAGUAAGGUGUGUGUGUGUGUGUGUGGGGGGGGGGCAGGUAUGUGGAGAGAUACUCAAGUAAUCUUCA